rnacentral:lncRNA from 1 species
AGGCAGUUCUGCUCAGAAGCUUCCAUCUUUGCACCUUAAGUCCAAAAGCAACUCUUAAUGUGAGGCCUUGUGAAAUCUCAUAUAGCUUAGCAUCAUCAUGUCCCUGAGCCUAUCCAUUCUUGAAAUGUCUCUGGGAUAUAGUCUAACCACUACUGAAAGUCUUUUUUCUGGACCAUUAUGUCUCACAAAUAUUAUGUCUCACAAAUUUCUGAUGGCAGUUAGCUCAUAUCAGAGGUUCUAAAGACUGCUGAACAGUACCACUUGGCAUCAGGGAUACCACGUGUGUCCACAUCUGUAGUGGAAGUGGAGUCAGCCAUACCCAACCAUAUCAAAUGGGUUCUCCAAAGGAAAGCAGAUUUUGUUACCAGAAAGAGGAAAAUUUGCCGAGCGACCCCCAACAGAGAUACCCUUCCACCAUGCAUGGCGUGGGGGCUAGUAAUGGAAGUGACUCAGAAUCGCCCAAAUUCACAAUGAUGGGUAGUGCGGAGAACAUGCAUUGCACUGGAAGAGAA